rnacentral:rRNA from 1 species
CUUGGUCAUUUAGAGGAAGUAAAAGUCGUAACAAGGUCUCCGUAGGUGAACUGCGGAGGGAUCAUUACACAAAUAUGAAGGCGGGCUGGAACCUCUCGGGGUUACAGCCUUGCUGAAUUAUUCACCCUUGUCUUUUGCGUACUUCUUGUUUCCUUGGUGGGUUCGCCCACCACUAGGGCAAACAUAAACCUUUUGUAAUUGCAAUCAGCGUCAGUAACAAAUUAAUAAUUACAACUUUCAACAACGGAUCUCUUGGUUCUGGCAUCGAUGAAGAACGCAGCGAAAUGCGAUAAGUAGUGUGAAUUGCAGAAUUUAGUGAAUCAUCGAAUCUUUGAACGCACAUUGCGCCCUUUGGUAUUCCAAAGGGCAUGCCUGUUCGAGCGUCAUUUGUACCCUCAAGCUUUGCUUGGUGUUGGGCGUCUUGUCUCUAGCUUUGCUGGAGACUCGCCUUAAAGUAAUUGGCAGCCGGCCUACUGGUUUCGGAGCGCAGCACAAGUCGCACUCUCUAUCAGCAAAGGUCUAGCAUCCAUUAAGCCUUUUUUUCAACUUUUGACCUCGGAUCAGGUAGGGAUACCCGCUGAACUUAAGCAUAUCAAUAAGCGGAGGA